rnacentral:rRNA from 1 species
CCUACGGGAGGCAGCAGUGAGGAAUAUUGGUCAAUGGACGAGAGUCUGAACCAGCCAAGUAGCGUGAAGGAUGACUGCCCUAUGGGUUGUAAACUUCUUUUAUAUGGGAAUAAAAUGUUCCACGUGUGGGAUUUUGUAUGUACCAUAUGAAUACUGAUCGGCUAACUCCGGGCCAGCAGCCGCGGUAAGACGGAGGAUCCGAGCGUUAUCCGGAUUUAUUGGGUUUAAAGGGAGCGUAGGUUGAUUGUUAAGUCAGUUGUGAAAGUUUGCGGCUCAACCGUAAAAUUGCAGUUGAAACUGGCAGUCUUGAGUACAGUAGGGGUGGGCGGAAUUCGUGGUGUAGCGGUGAAAUGCUUAGAUAUCACGAAGAACUCCGAUUGCGAAGGCAGCUCACUGGACUGCAACUGACACUGAGGCUCGAAAGUGUGGGUAUCGAACAGGAUUAGAUACCCUAGUAGUC